ensembl:lncRNA
UCAAAAACUGGAGAGAAACUGCACCACUGUGAUGGCAAUGUAGGACAAAGCAGAAGCGCAGCAAAGAGAUAAGGAUAUAAUUACUGCAGACAACCUUGGAGAAAAAUGGCAUCUAAGAACAAUUGUAAGGACCUUUCUGUCCUUGAAUUGCUAACACUCUGCUAGUAAUGGAAGCCUGAGAAACCUUGAGACUACCAGCUUCUUGAAUCAGAGCUGCACUGAGUGACAUUUUCAACAUCGCUGAACAUGCCAGCAGUGAGUACUACAUUUUAUAAAGGAAGAAGAAAAGCAGGCUGUGAAGACAAGAUUAUCACAGAUGAAUUGUUGGGCUCUGAAGAAGAAUGUUGACAAAUACAAGACUGCUACAGACAACUAGAAGUAACCUCGUGGUCACAGCCCUGGAACUACAACCACC